rnacentral:lncRNA from 1 species
AGCAUGUGGAGACAACGUACAGAAGAAACAAGCAGAGAAGAAUGCAGCUCGUACAAUUAACCCAGCACAAGGAGUCCGAGCUGAAGAACUAGAGAAGCUGCCACAUCUGCUUGGAGAACAAAUAAGGAACUGCAACAUCACCCCGUUCAAGAUCAAAGCUGUGGAAAGUCAACAAGAUCAACUAUCUCCAAAACCAGAUUUGCGUUCUUAAACUCUACUCUGUUCUGGUUUUUACUUUGCCAUA